rnacentral:lncRNA from 1 species
AGGGGUUCCUUCCCCUGAUGAACCCUUCCCUUCUGUUCUCAUCUCUCCUUCUUGCCCAGUCACAGCCACCCAGCACUGUGCCCAAGGCCUGACUCCCAGUUUCACGGGGAAUCCAAGACAAUUAGUAUUUUGAGAAACUGGGAGCUACAUAGAAAACGAGUCGGUAAAGCCAGUGUCCACUGAUCCUCCACUCCACACAGCGGACUGCUCUAGUCCUCGGGAUAAACCCACACCGCGGGGAAGAUGCGAUCAAGGCGGGCAGGUCGGAGGAGCCGCAAAGCGGGUGGUUCAGAGAACAAGGUCACGUGAACACAAAGCUAAAGUGUUCAGCGGUUGGAAGACAAAACACAGGAGACAGAAACACUGACCGUUUAAAAAGAAAAGAAAAAAAAAAGCCUCACUGUUAAGAGUCCAUCAAGAUUUAAGUUCUCAAGUCACAAUGUAUCAGCACAGACUUCUCAUAAUGCCUGAAACUUGGGGCAGUAAACACGUGAAUCAGUUCUCCCAAGUCCAUCAUUUUGUUUGAUGAGUCUCUUGAUUCUCAGGCUGGUUUCGAAGUAAGCCCUUCUCUGUUUGUUGAUGACUUAAUAAUUAACAUACUUGAAAACACAUUGACUUCCAAAUUAAUCUGCUAACAAAAUAUUCAUUUCCACACUUGCUGUCAUCCACAGAGAAAACACAAUCACUUUCUGGUUGUAAAAAUAUGAGAAUUCGAAGCCCCCUUGGCCAUCUGAACAGCUCUGCUUUUGACAAGGGCAUUCCAAAGCUAAUCUGAAAAACUAGUCCAGGCCAUGAUCGUUGGGGGUUGGACUUGCCUCAUCACCCCACCUCCCUUCUGGAAUUAGACAGAACUUAGACUCUUAGUCUGAUGGGAAACAUUUACAAUCCUCCGAAGCUACCGGGAGGAUUCCCUCCACGUGACAAAUCUUGAUCUCCACAACCCCUUAUCUUACAACUCUCUCGACCAACUGUCAAUCAGGAAAUUUUUGAAUCUACCUAUGACCUGCAAAUCCCUGCUUCCAGUUGUCCCACCUUUCCACACCAAACCAAUGUACAUCGUACAUUUAUUUGAUUGUUGUCUCAUGUCUCCCUAAAAGCUACAAAACCAGACUGUGCCCCGAUCACCUCGGGAAUACGUUCUUAGGAUCUCCUGAGGGCUGUAUCAAGGGUCAUGGUAACUCAUUUGGCUCAGAAUCAAUCUCUAAAUGCUUCACAGAGUUUGACUCUCUUUGCUGACACAGUACCUUUCAUGGGUAUUCAUCUGGAGGACUCACAAUCAACCGGAGGUAGCAGUUGCCCACUAUACAAAAGUCUCUGCAGGACUGAGCCUCUGGCAUGGGGACUCCAACCCCUGAAGUAGCAGCUGUCCCACGUCCCACGGCCUGAUAGACCUGCACC